UACGUAGGGUGCAAGCGUUGUCCGGAAUUAUUGGGCGUAAAGAGCUCGUAGGCGGUCUGUUACGUCGGCUGUGAAAACCCGAGGCUCAACCUCGGGCCUGCAGCCGAUACGGGCAGACUAGAGUUCGGCAGGGGAGACUGGAAUUCCUGGUGUAGCGGUGAAAUGCGCAGAUAUCAGGAGGAACACCGGUGGCGAAGGCGGGUCUCUGGGCCGAUACUGACGCUGAGGAGCGAAAGCGUGGGGAGCGAACAGG
rnacentral:rRNA from 1 species